rnacentral:misc_RNA from 1 species
UUUCCGUUGGUGAACCAGCGGAAGGAUCAUUAAUGAACAAGUACGUGCGGGGGAGGGUUGUGCUGGCGCGUCCGCGCGCACGUGCACGCCCGCCCCCGUCGUCCGUCCACUCACACCUGUGCACCUUGCUCGUCAGGUCGAGGGGUCCCCCUCGGCCCGGCGCACUUUUCACACCACCUGUCUUAACCGGAUGUCAAUUGCGUAAACGCAACCGAAAAACAACUUUUAACAACGGAUCUCUUGGUUCUCGCAUCGAUGAAGAACGCAGC